AAAAGCUCGUAGUUGGAUCUCAGCUCCGCCCGGACGGUCCGCCUACCGGUGGUUACUGUUCGCUGGCGAGCGUUCAGGCGGUUAUUCUUGAUGAUCUUCACCGGUUGUCUCGGGUGACCGCCAAGUUUACUUUGAAAAAAUUAGAGUGCUCAAAGCAGGCGCGACGCCUGAAUAAUUGUGCAUGGAAUAAUGGAAUAGGACCUCGGUUCUAUUUUGUUGGUUUUCGGAACACGAGGUAAUGAUUAAGAGGGACAGACGGGGGCAUUCGUAUUGCGACGCUAGAGGUGAAAUUCUUGGACCGUCGCAAGACGAACUACUGCGAAAGCAUUUGCCAAGAAUGUUUCCAUUAAUCAAGAACGAAAGUUAGAGGUUNGAAGGCGAUCAGAUACCGCCCUAGUUCUAACCAUAAACGAUGCCAGCCAGCGAUCCGGCUGUGUUCCUCAAAUGACACGCCGGGCAGCUUCCGGGAAACCAAAGCUUUUGGGUUCCGGGGGAAGUAUGGUUGCAAAGCUGAAACUUAAAGGAAUUGACGGAAGGGCACCACCAGAAAUGGAGCCUGCGGCUUAAUUUGACUCAACACGGGAAAACUUACCCGGCCCGGACACAGGAAGGAUUGACAGAUUAAGAGCUCUUUCUUGAUUCUGUGGGUGGUGGUGCAUGGCCGUUCUUAGUUGGUGGGGCGACUUGUCUGGUUAAUUCCGAUAACGAACGAGACUCU
rnacentral:rRNA from 1 species